UACGGAGGGGGCUAGCGUUGUUCGGAAUCAUUGGGCGUAAAGGGCGCGUAGGCGGCCGAUCAAGUCGGAGGUGAAAUCCCUCGGCUCAACUGAGGAAUUGCCUUCGAUACUGUUCGGCUUGAGUCCUGGAGAGGGUAGCGGAAUUCCCGGUGUAGCGGUGAAAUGCGUAGAGACCGGGAAGAACACCAACGGCGAAAGCACUCUGCUGGGCCGACACUGACACUGAGAGACGAAAGCUAGGGGAGCGAAUGGG
rnacentral:rRNA from 1 species